rnacentral:rRNA from 1 species
UACGUAGGGGGCAAGCGUUGUCCGGAUUUAUUGGGCGUAAAGAGCGUGUAGGCGGCUUGGUAGGUCCGCUGUGAAAACUCGAGGCUCAACCUCGAGAUGUCGGCGGAAACCACUUGGCUAGAGUCCGGAAGAGGAGAGUGGAAUUCCUGGUGUAGCGGUGAAAUGCGCAGAUAUCAGGAAGAACACCUAUGGCGAAGGCAGCUCUCUGGGACGGUACUGACGCUGAGACGCGAAAGCUAGGGGAGCGAACAGG